rnacentral:rRNA from 1 species
GAUGAACGCUGGCGGCGUGCCUAAUACAUGCGAGUCGAGCGAACGGACGAGAAGCUUGCUUUUCUGAUGUUAGCGGCGGACGGGUGAGUAACACGUGGAUAACCUACCUAUAAGACUGGGAUAACUUCGGGAAACCGGAGCUAAUACCGGAUAAUAUUUUGAACCGCAUGGUUCAAAAGUGAAAGACGGUCUUGCUGUCACUUAUAGAUGGAUCCGCGCUGCAUUAGCUAGUUGGUAAGGUAACGGCUUACCAAGGCAACGAUGCAUAGCCGACCUGAGAGGCGGAUCGGCCACACUGGAACUGAGACACGGUCCAGACUCCUACGGGAGGCAGCAGUAGGGAAUCUUCCGCAAUGGGCGAAAGCCUGACGGAGCAACGCCGCGUGAGUGAUGAAGGUCUUCGGAUCGUAAAACUCUGUUAUUAGGGAAGAACAUAUGUGUAAGUAACUGUGCACAUCUUGACGGUACCUAAUCAGAAAGCCACGGCUAACUACGUG